ACGGGAGGCAGCAGUGGGGAAUAUUGGACAAUGGAGGCAACUCUGAUCCAGCGACGCCGCGUGAGUGAAGAAGUAUUUCGGUAUGUAAAGCUCUAUCAGCAGGGAAGAUAAUGACGGUACCUGACUAAGAAGCCCCGGCUAACUACGUGCCAGCAGCCGCGGUAAUACGUAGGGGGCAAGCGUUAUCCGGAUUUACUGGGUGUAAAGGGAGCGUAGACGGAAGGCCAAGUCUGAUGUGAAAACCCAGGGCUCAACCCUGGGACUGCAUUGGAAACUGGUCAUCUAGAGUGCAGGAGGGGUAAGCGGAAUUCCUAGUGUAGCGGUGAAAUGCGUAGAUAUUAGGAGGAACACCAGUGGCGAAGGCGGCUUACUGGACUGUAACUGACGUUGAGGCUCGAAAGCGUGGGGAGCAAACAGGAUUAGAUACCCUGGUA
rnacentral:rRNA from 1 species